AACAUCAAUAUUAAUUUAAUGACAUUCCAUAAGAAUAAAAAUCCAAUAGGACGAAGAUCUUAGCAGUUCACACCCGGUCAGAGGGACAAAAUUGAGAACCAUGCAGAUCAGCUGCAAGUGUGAGUUACACUCUAAUGAGGAACAGGACAUCUGAAUUGGAAAAUUGCAAGGUUUCCCACUGCCCAAGCUGUUUAAGUACCGGUAUCAAUACAAGUACCAAGACGGAAGAAAUAUGAAGGCCAAGUUAAUAAGUAGUUACUUUAAAUUAAUUUGAAUAGAUAUAUCAACAAAGCAUUGAAUGUUCUUUAAACUGCAUAUCUGUAGAAAGAGUGCAGUUCAAGUUCAGAUUCAUCAGCAGGCAAUGAUAUUAAAGUAUACAAAAUUUCACACAAAAUACAAGUAAGAAUUUUUUUUUCCAAUGGGCAAAUGUAUCAACUUUUAUUAAUAUUUAAUACUUAUACUAGUUCUUAGAAGUUUUCGUGAAAUUAAAUAUAAUUUCCAGUUUAAAGGCCUAUUGUAUACAAGACAAAAAU
rnacentral:lncRNA from 1 species